GCUCAGUCAAACAUGCUCCCCUUGGCUGAUGUGUUGAGUCAAGAUGAACUGCGCAAAAAGCUAUACCAGACAUUUAAAGAUCGGGGUAUACUGGACACGCUCAAGAUACAACUUCGAAACCAGCUAAUUCAUGAGCUGAUGCAGCCUGUAUUGAGUGGAGAACUGCAAACUCGGUCCAUUUCAGUGCAAGGGAGCUCCCUCUUAAUAGGUGCCUCUAACUCUUUAGUGGCAGAUCACUUACAAAGAUGUGGCUAUGAAUAUUCACUUUCUGUUUUCUUUCCAGAAAGUGGUUUGGCAAAAGAAAAGGUAUUUACUAUGCAGGAUCUAUUACAACUCAUUAAAAUCAACCCUACUUCCAGUCUCUACAAAUCACUGGUUUCAGGAUCUGAUAAAGAAAACCAAAAAGGUUUUCUUAUGUAUUUUUUAAAAGAAUUGGCAGAAUAUCAUCAAGCUAAAGAGAGUUGUAAUAGGGAAACUCAGACAAGUUCGACAUUUAGCAGAGAUUCUCUGGCUGAGAAGCUUCAGCUUAUUGAUGAUCAGUUUGCAGAUGCUUACCCUCAGCGUGUCAAGUUCGAGUCUUUAGAAAUAAAGCUAAAUGAAUAUAAGAGAGAAAUAGAAGAGCAACUUCGGGCAGAAAUAUGCCAAAAGUUGAAGUUUUUUAAAGAUACCGAGAUAGCAAAAAUUAAAAUGGAAGCGAAAAAAAAGUAUGAGAAGGAAUUAGCCGUGUUCCAGAAUGAUUUUGAGAAAGCUUGUCAAGCAAAAUCUGAAGCCCUCGUUAUUCGGGAAAAGGGUACCCUUGAGAGAAUUCAAAAGCACCAAGAGAUUGAAACAAAAGAGAUUUAUGCUCAAAGGCAACUUUUACUAAAAGAUAUUGAUUUGCUAAGAGGAAGAGAAGCAGAGCUGAAGCAAAGAGUUGAAGCUUUUGAACUGAACCAGAAGCUCCAGGAAGAAAAACAUAAAAGCAUGACUGAGGCACUUAGGAGACAGGAGCAGAAUAUAAAGAGUUUUGAGAAGACCUAUGAUCAAAAGCUCAAGAAUGAACUUCUAAAGUAUCAACUUGAACUAAAGCACGACUACAUCAUUAGAACUAAUCGACUGACUGAAGAUGAAAGGAAGAAUAAAGAAAAAGCAAUUCAUUUGCAAGAGAAGCUCAUAGCUUUUAAUUCAAAAAAGGAGGAACUCAAUCAAUCUGUAAAUCGCAUAAAAGAACUUGAGCUUGAGUUAGAGUCUGUCAAAGCCCAGUCUUUGGCAAUAACAAAACAAAACCAUAUGCUGAAUGAAAAGGUUAAAGUGAUGAGUGAUUAUUCACUACUAAAAGAAGAGAGACUGGAGCUUCUGGCACAAAAUAAAUUACUUAAACAACAACUGGAAGAGAGUAGAAAUGAAAACUUGCGUCUCCUAAACCGCCUAGCUCAGCCAGCUCCUGAACUUGUGGUCUUUCAGAAAGAACUACGGAAAGCAGAAAGGGCUAUAGUGGUUGAGCAUGAGGAGUUUGAAAGCCGCAGGCAAGCUCUGCACAAACAACUGCAAGAUGAAAUUGAGCAUACUGCACAGCUGAAGGCCCAGAUACUAGGUUACAAAGCUUCCGUAAAGAGGUUAACUAUUCAGGUUGCCGAUUUAAAACUGCAACUGAAGCAAACUCAGACAGCCCUAGAGAAUGAAGUGUACUGCAAUCCAAAGCCGUCUGUGAUCCAUCAUUCUGCCAAUGGAUUAAUAAAUGGCAACAUGGUGCUUCACAAUGGUGAGAUAAGUGGGGACUUCUUGAACAAUCCUUGUAAACAGGAAAAAGUUCUAGCAGGUAUGGUUGCAUCAAGGAUCACAAAUUAUCCAAAUACAGGGAUGGAGGGUAGUUCCCCUGAUUCUGACUUUGAGUUUGUCGCCAAUACUAAUGCAAGGGUCAAAGAGCUUCAGCAAGAGGCCGAACGCCUGGAAAAGGCUUUCAGAAGUUACCAUCGGAGAGACAUUAAAAACUCUGCCACAGGCCCACUACCAGCAAAGAGCCCACCAUCUCUGCACUUGCUGGAAGCCUUCAAAAACAUUACUUCCAGUUCCCCGGAAAGACACAUUUUUGCAGAGGACAGAGUUAUCUCUGAGCAGCCUCAAGUGGGCACACUUAAAGAAGAAAGGAAUGACAUCUUGGAAGCACUGACAGGCAGUGUAGCCUCAAGGCUACGGGGGGGCACUUCCUCCAGACGCCUCUCCUCCACAUCCCUUCCAGAAGCAAAAAGAAGCCUUGAAAGUGAAAUAUAUCUGGAAGGUCUGGGCAGAUCACACAUUGCUUCCCCCAGUCCUUGUACUGACAGAAUGCCCCUGUCAUCACCCACUGAGUCUAGGCACAACUUCUCCAUCCCUCCCUUCUCCAGCCCUCCGGGGCAGAAAGCUGGUCAUUAUCAGAGACAAAAUGAACUUCAAGACAAAAGUGAAUUUUCAGAUGUGGACAAGCUAGCUUUUAAGGAUAAUGAGGAAUUUGAAUCAUCCUGUGAAUAUGCAGGGAACGUGCCAAGGCAGUUUGAAAUGGAUAAGCCCUCUCCUGCCGGGGAUAUGCUUCAUAUGGGUGCUGCUGCAGCUGCUGUGCCCCUCUCAUAUCAGCACCCAAAUGUAGAUCAGAAACAAAUUGAAGAACAAAAGGAAGAAGAAAAAAUAUGGGAACAGCAAGUGAAAGAACGAAAGCAGAGAGAAGAAAGAAGGCAGAGUAAUCUACAAGAAAUUUUAGAAAGGGAACGAAGAGAACUAGAAAAACUGUAUCAGGAAAGGAGGAUCACUGAAGAAUCACUGAAGAUUGAAAUGGAAAAUGAAUUAGAAAUGAGUAAUCAAGAAAUGAAAGACAAAUCUGCUCACAGUGAAAAUCCUUUAGAGAAAUAUAUCAAAAUAAUCCAGCAGGAGCAAGACCAGGAGUCGGCAGGUAAGAGCUCAAAAAAGAUGGUCCAGGAAGGCUCCCUAGUGGACACACUGCAAUCUAGUGACAAAGUCGAAAGUUUAACAGGCUUUUCUCAUGAAGAACCAGAUGACUCUUGGUAACCAUGUUUGCUGCCCAGCUUCUAACUUACAUACCAUGAGAAGUGACAUAAC